rnacentral:rRNA from 1 species
AGGCACGAAAGCUAGGGGAGCAAACAGGAUUAGAUACCCUGGUAGUCCUAGCCCUAAACGGUGCACGUUUGCUGUGAGAGGAAUCGACCCCUUUCGUGGCGAAGCUAACGCGUUAAACGUGCCGCCUGGGAAGUACGGCCGCAAGGUUAAAACUCAAAGAAAUUGACGGGGGCCUGCACAAGCGGUGGAGUAUGUGGCUUAAUUCGAUGCAACGCGAAGAACCUUACCUGGCCUUGACAUGUAGGUGGUAGAAGCCUGAAAGGGCGACGACCCCGCAAGGGGAGCCUGCACAGGUGCUGCAUGGCUGUCGUCAGCUCGUGUCGUGGGAUGUUGGGUUAAGUCCCGCAACGAGCGCAACCCCUGCGUCCUGUUGCCACCCGGCCGAGAGGCUGGAGCACUCUGGACGGACUGCCUCGCUUAAACGGGGAGGAAGGUGGGGAUGACGUCAAGUCAGUAUGGCCCUUACGGCCAGGGCUGCACACGUACUACAAUGCCCGGUACAGAGGGAUGCAAGACCGUCAGGUGGAGCAAAUCCCAAAAAACCGGGCCCAGUUCAGAUUGUCGUCUGCAACUCGACGGCAUGAAGCUGGAAUCGCUAGUAAUGGCGCAUCAGCUACGGCGCCGUGAAUACGUUCCCAGGCCUUGUACACACCGCCCGUCACAUCAUGAAAGCCGGUUGUACCCGAAGUCGCCCCUUAAAGGUGCCGAAGGUAUGGUUGGUGAUUGGGAUGAAGUCGUAACAAGGUAACC